AACGAACGCUGGCGGCAGGCCUAACACAUGCAAGUCGAGCGGACCCUCCUGCGUUAGCGUCGGACGGGCGAGUAACGCGUGGGAAUAUGCCCUUCUCUACGGAAUAGUCUUGGGAAACAGGUUGUAAUAACGUAUACGCCCCUUGGGGUAAGGACUUAUCGGGGAAGGAUUAGCCCGCGGUGGAUUAGGUAGUUGGUGGGGUAAUGGCCUACCAAGCCGACGAUCCAUAGCUGGUUUGGGGGGAUGAUCAGCCACACUGGGACUGAGAGACGGCCCACGUUGCUACGGGAGGCAGCAGUGGGGAAUCUUAGACAAUGGGGGCAACCCUGAUCAAGCCGUGCCGCGUGAGUGAAGAAGGCCUUGGGGUUGUAGAGCUCUUUUAGCUGGGAAGAUAAUGACGGUACCAGCAGAAGAAGCCCCGGCUAACUCCGUG
rnacentral:rRNA from 1 species